UCCAUCGAUUUUCCUUCAAUUUGACGUCACGAUUUUCGUCGACGCAGUUUGACAGUUCUCUUCAGUUGGUCUUGUUUGGACUUGAUCAAAUCAGAGAAACUUUGAACCGAAUCGAACCAGUUUACUUUGUUGAAAAGUUCUUGUGGAUUUUUGCCGGUUGAUUGGAGGAGGAGAACGGGUCACAUCGUUGCUCCGGCAGGCCAUGCCGAAAGACGGAAAGGGAAGCACCCGGUCUGUGAUCGAGGAAGCGGAUUGGUGUUUAACUUUCCGCGGGAGGUGGCGGUGCAUGGUUUUUAUACGGUAACCAAAAAUAUUCCAAUCGAAUCCUGCUGACAACCCAGCGUUUCCGUAUUGUCCCACGGAACGGAAGCUGUAACGAUCGCAAAAACACCUGCACUG